UACACCCCUAAAUUUUCCUAUUCACACACCCCUCCUAACUAAAAACCACCAGAUUACGCCAUGUGGCAAUGCAUCACUAAUAGAUCCAACCACCCAGAUAAGUCCAUGUCAUCCAUCUUUACACUAAUUAGUGAGCCAAUCAGGUGCUGCCACCUUAGCCCCAUGCCACGUCAUCAUCUUCCACCACUGAAACCCUAAUCCCCAAUUCAGCAAACCUAGGGCGCCGUCACCACAAACAUGUCGCACCACC
rnacentral:lncRNA from 1 species